UUGAUCUCGUCAACCUUCGUCAGAUGUCUGAUACACUGCUCUGACUUUUCGGAAGCGAGAAGUGUGAUGACGUCAGGAGUGAAACAAAAGUGGCGGGAUG
rnacentral:pre_miRNA from 1 species